rnacentral:rRNA from 1 species
AACAUGUCUAUUUGAUGAUAUAAAUAGUCUGGCCUGCCCACUGAUUUAGAUAUUAAAGGGCCGCGGUAUUUUAACCGUGCAAAGGUAGCAUAAUCAUUAGGUUUUUAAUUAGAAUCUUGUAUGAAUGGUUCGACAAAAGAAAUACUGUCUUUAUAUUAAAUUUUGAAUUUAACUUUUAAGUGAAAAGGCUUAAAUAUAUUAAAGGGACGAUAAGACCCUAUAAAACUUUACAUUGUAGUUUUAUUUAAUUGAAUUUAUGAAAUAAAGAUUUAAUUUAAUUAUAUGUUAUGUUGGGGAGACAAAGGUAAAAUAAAUUUUAACUGCUUUAUGUUAAAACAUAUAUUUAUGGAUAUAUUAAAAGAUCCUUUAUAAAGAUUAAAAGAUUAAGUUACUUUAGGGAUAACAGCGUUAUUUUUUUUGAGAGUUCCUAUCGAAAAGAGAGUUUGCGACCUCGAUGUUGAAUUAAAAUAUCUUUAUAGUGCAGAAGCUAUAAAAGAAGGU